UUCAACCGCGAUAACUAAAUCAGGGCGGAGCCGCUUCGCGUGAGGGGCUGGUUUUGGGGAGGCGACGUUUCUGGAAGCUGCUGGAAAACGCUUGAGUGACGGAGAGGACGCUGGCGUCAGGGGGUGGGGCGUGGUAAAACUAGUGCGCGGCACGGUGCGGAGGGAUUACGCCGCUGAGGUAAAGAGACCGGGGGUGGUCUCUUUGCAGUCUGGGGCUCGAGACCCCAGGUGGGGCGCUCAGGGUCCCGCAGCCACCCGUAGGGUGCAAUCCGAGCAGAAAGGGGCCGCCUUGGAGGCGCGACUUUAGGCGCCCUAGCCCGCUCCUAAAGCCUUGGUGAGAGCCUGGUGCUCAGUGCGUGUUCACAGAGGGUCACCACACACGGACCCUCCUUUCUCUACACCCCAGGUUUUAGGCCAGGGACUUUUCUGCCAGGAUUCUGAGGUGAUUCUCCUUUCCUUGCUCCCUGAUCUUCUGACGGUAAGGAGAGUCACGGCAGCGCAGGCAGUUGGCUCUCCAUAACCCGUUCUGGUACCGAGCAGCCGAUCUGCCCUUGCUGCGCGCUUUUCCGCUGCCCUGCCCUGUGUGAACUUCCGGCAAAGGGGAGUUGUCAUUUUAGUUGGUAAGUUUUAAGACUGCUUCUGUAGGUUGGUCAUGUGGUUUAAAGGACAUCGUGACUGCUGCUGCUGUGUCUGAGUCUGCAUUCUAAUUUUUGAAAGCAACUUAUUCCAGAAGUUCUUUGGGACCAAUUGUUUCAGUGUGUUAGGGUAUCAAUUUCGUGGUUUCUCACAGUUUCUUUGCAGAGGAACCACGGUUGGCAUUUUAGACUGUGCUUUGAGUUUUGGGGAGAAUCUGGAUUUUUGCUUUUGAUUUUUAGCAUCCUUAAAUGAUUCUGGAAUAAUCCGGUAACUGAUAGGGUGAUACGGAGGAACAAAGUUACGUGUUAUUCUCACGUGAAAAAGGAUUUUAGUUUGUAGUACUUCUGGGUGAUCAAGAAAUCCAACAGUUUGUUGGGAGCUUUUUUUUUUUUCUUCUAGAAAAAAAUAAUUGGUUUUUGCUUAUUUUUGUACUGCUACUUUUAUCAACUUACUGAUAUAUUUGUAUACGUUUAAUUAGGCUUUAUUUUUUGAAUUAUGAAAAUUUGAGAACUAGUACUUCCUCUUGACAUAGCCAAACUUGGUUUUUUCUUGUACACCAUUAUUAUUUACAUUUUUACAAUGGAAUACACCUUUUCUGUGAUUAACACUGAAUACUAACUAACUUAAGCGGGACGGCACAAUUGGCAGAGUUAAAAUGUGGCCAAAAUUUUAAGAUUGCAAAGCAACAUCCCUAAUUUUAAAAACCAAAUAUUGUCUUUUGGUGCAAAUUCAUAGUCUUCUAUUGCAAAUUUUAUUUCUCCGACACACACCCCCAGCCGCUACCCACCAUGGAAUAAUGAAAAGAACAAAACAGAAAUGAGGUUUGGUUUGUGGAGAGAAAGGAAAAAAGAUUUUAGUUUGUGCUGCUUUGACUGGUAGUUCUUUGCAUUGUGAAAAACAAGAAAAAUCUUUAGAGAAAGAUUCUAAUAUAGGAGAUCAGGAAAAGUUUAGUACUAGAUGGUAAGAGUGUCAAAUUAACAAAAUUGUAUACAAUUACCAGAAUAUUUUAAAUUCCUUUCCUAUGUACAGAGAUCCUGGAGUAGAAUCCCCUCCCAGUUGAUUAAAGCUCAUUGCUUCCACUGUUUUGUCAGCAUUAUGAGACAGAAAUUCUGUUUGCUUAUUUCCAUUUGUAUACUCAUUUAUUAAAAGGAAGUCUUUAACCUUAAUUUAUCUGUUAAACUAUAAACUAAUGAAUACACUACAAAAGGAGUACAAUGCCAUGCAGGCUUGCUUUCUUUCAUUUUCUCUUCUCAUGCUGUCAGCUCUUGCAAGAUUGAAUUCCUUAACCAGAACAAAAAUCUGUGGUUCAAACUUGAUACACAAGCUGCCUGCUAUGAUUACUUCUCAUCAGAAAGAUGGAGCUGAAGAAACUAGUGAUUCUUUUUUGCAGCACCCACUUGAGUACAGUCUACAAUCCCUUAUCUAAAGCUAACAUUCAGAAAGCUUGGCCAUCCAGAUUUUUUCAGUUUGUAGACAAAAUUCAUUUGGUAGCAAAAUAUAACCUGAACUAAUGUAUAUGUGAUGAACUACGUGUAGUCUUCAUACCAUAUGUUUUGCUGAAACCAAGGUUUGAUUAUGGAGUGCUGCUGUUGGCUACUGUUAUAUGGGAUAUUAUAAUUGGUUUGCGUACCUUCUAACAUUUUUAAAAUUCCAAACAAUUCUUAUUCCUAAAACAUCCAAUGCCAGGCCUGGUGGUGCAUACCUGUAAUCCCAACAUGCCUAUAAUCCCAGCGUGGGCUAUAAAAUGAGUUCAAGGCCAACCUGAACCCUAGAGCGAGACCUUCUCAAAACAGAUAAUAAAUAAAUAAAGCACAUUCCACACUUGGGCUUUAGUUAAGGGGUUAAUGACCUACAUUAAUAUUUUUGGCAAUAAACUUGUGGUAGACAUUUGUAUAUUUAAAAAAAUUAACAUGAGACAUUUUAUUCUUGCACUCAGUGAAUUUAUGAUUCAGAAAAUGCAUUUAUUUGUAAGUAUAACCAUGUAGUGAUCCAAACAAGACUAUGACAGUAGUCCCAGGGAUUAAGGUAGUUUUCAUAUUGUGUACUAAAAUUUAUAGACAGAAUAUGAUAGCUAAUAUUGUAGCCUAAAUAAACUUGGUUCCAUUUUUCCCACACAAAAUGAGGAAAUAAUAUGAUAAAGAGUCCUAGACAUCAAAAUAUUCCAGAAAUUUCUUCUGCUGUGUGAUUUGUCACAAGCCACUGAAUUUCAAAAACAUUAGUUUACACAUCUAUAAAAUGGGAAGUUUAGAAGAGAUUGAUAUCUUGAGGACCUUUGUAGUUUAAACAUUCUGACUACAGGUAUUAACUCUUAGAAUUACCACUUACUUUUAAAAAAUGUUUUCCACUAAGGACAUGUUUCCAUUUCAUCUCAAACUGCUACAUGCUGAUUUAAAUUGUUCUUUUCUUUUUAGUAUACACAUGGUUCAGAAAUCAAAAAAUGAACACUGAAAAAUUACUGCCACAUUUGUACCUCAGUUGCCAGAUUUCGUAUCUAGUUCUGGGAAGCAACAAGGGCUAAUGGUUGUGUAUAUUUUUUUAAGUGUAUGUACAAGCAAAUGAGUAGUAUCAAUGUGUUUUAUUUUUCUCCUUUUAAACAAAUGGUACACAUGUGCACACUUUACAUACCUUAUUUAUUCACUCAAAUUAUUCUGUAUUUUGUAAGGGUUAUCCCUUUUAUGGCUGCAUGAUACUCCAUUGCAGCUCUGUGGCAUUAUUUCAUCAGUCUGGUCUUUUGGAUGUUCAAAGUUUGUUUUUUUCAGCUCUUUAUUAAAAGUGCUGUGUAACAAAUAACUUUUCAUCUUUUCACCCUAUGUCAGUGUAUUCAUUUAUGCAGUGGCCCAUAUGACCCCUAGGCCAGUAUAAUAGUAUAGAGUCAAUAACCUAUUUGAUUCUAAAAUAAGUAUAAAGAUACAAGUCCCAUCACUUGAACCACUGUUUCUUCUUUAGAGGCUAAGAGGAAGCAGGUGGGAUGUUUAGGGAUGCCAUUGUUUAGGGAUGAACAUUACACUAAAUAAACAUCAAUAUUUAAACAUCAAAAUCACAUAGUAGGUGGGGUAUGGUGGUAUAUCCUAGCGCUUGGGAGGCUGAGGUAAGAACUGCUACAAAUUUGAGGCCAGCCUGAACUACAUAGCAAGUCUGUCUCAAAAUCAUAGAAAAACAAAAUUUACAGUGACAGUCACGAAAACAGACUGAUUUUAUAACAAAUUACUGAUUCUAUACUCAUGCUUAUUCUAGGGUAUAAUCUAUUUAAGCUGUUGUUUUUCUUUUUAAUUUCUUUCUUUUUUUUUUUUUUUUUUUUUUUUUUUUUUUGUCUUUUCCUUUUUAUCAGUACCGAGGAUUGAAUUCACGACCGCCUGCUUGCAAGGCAGGUGCUUAUGCCACUGGGCUAAAUCCCCAGCCCCUCUUUUUAAUUUCUUGCCUAGCAUCUAGUUAAAUUGUAAGAGCAGUUGUGACUCCAUUUUGUUUUAGGCCCCAUUUUAGCUUGUACUUAAACUUUACUUAACCUCACUCCCAAAGACUCCCCUCCCAUCCAAUUAACCAUAAAACCCACAAAAGGAGGCACAGUUUUAGCACACAAUGGUUGCAAUGACUGUUGCCUACAUCCAGUGUAACAAACAGCAGAUGUUUGAAAAGAGUUUUGUAAGGGUCUUGGGACAUGAUAUAGCGCCAUAUGGUUGCUCUGGAAACUGAAGAACUUGUGGUCUUGAAAAAGUAUAAAAAUCCUGAAAGAACAAGGACUGAGGGUCAACAGCUUCAGCUCCUUGCUGUUCUGUCAUCCACCAGCUACCAAUAAAACUUACUUCUUUCUUGAUUCUCAGCCUCCUGUGAGUGUGUCUCAUGAUCUAGCUAUAACAUUUUGGAGACCCCAGUGAGAUUCUCUCAUGGCAAAAGCUCUUGGAUUGAGGGGUCCCUGGGCCUCCUUGUCUUAACAGUUGAUCUUCCUGUGAAAUUAACCUUGGCUGAUUUCACCUGCCUCCUGAGACUAGUGUAUCUGGACACCAUGGCUGUGAGACAGAAACAGCUGUCUCAUUUGGUUUCAUUUUAGCAUUUGCUUGAGCUUGUUCGGGGACUUGUUAUUUUGUGCUAGCAGUUGGUUUAGCCUGGCCAUUGGAUGGGGUGCUUGCUAAGGUCUCAAUGUGGCCAAAUGUUUGGUCAGAGUUUGCCUCUGAAUUGCCUAAAUUAGCAGCUAUGGUGCUUAUCAUUUCCCGGGAUUGUUUGUCUUUUUUGUAUGUCUGUGUUAUCUCCCCAGAUGGCACCCAUGAUUCCAGGUCAUAGCCAGAUCUGCCACCUGGCUUGCACUUUUGAUGUUUGACCUGCUCCUACCAUUCCUGCUCCUUGCUGCCCUGCACUUGGAGAAAUUGAAGCUUGUCUGCAAUACACUGUUUUCCAAUUUCGUGAGCCUCCAACUCUUGUUUGUGUUUUUGACUGUGUAGAGAAAAGAGAAUUUGCUGAGAUAAGCUGUUGUUCUUCUGUGUCCACAAUGGGCUCUGCAGGCAGCAAGCUGACUGUUUUAGAUUGUGUGUUCAAAAAUUUUGACAGGUUUCUCAGCAGCACAAUGCCUGCCUGGCAAGCACAAGGUCCUGAGUUUGAUUCCCAAUACAAAAAUAAUAAUAAUAAUAAUAAUUUCUUACAGGUUUAAGGGUGAUUAUAGGGUUAAAUGAGGAAAGAUCUGGACUCUAUGUGAACUGGAAUGGCCAGCUCUCCAUGUUGGCCUUCAGAGGGGAUGGUCAACCCCCAAAUAACUGGUAAGGUGUGGAGUAUUAUCAUUGGGAAUCCAGGGCAUCCAGAUCAAUUUCCAUAUGUUGAUUCCUAUUACAUGCCAUUCAAAUGUUGUCCUACUGGCUCACAACAUGUCUUUGGGGACUUCUUGAGCAGUCUUUGGUGAUUUAAGGGAGUGUUCUGAUGUAAAUCCCUCUGUAUUACUCCCAGCUCCUGAGGAGAAUGAGCCCCUUUCUCUAGCUCCUUCAACACUGCCUCUACCCUGUUGACCACCUCACUGUCAUCCCUACCAACAGCCCUCCCCAGGGUACAUAACAGAGUCCACCUCUCAGAGUGAGGGACUCUUCAUGCCAGAUACUGAUGAAUGGCAAAACACACUCUGUGCAAUCACAAGACAGCCUAUGAGUGGGGGUUCUUCUCCAACUGGGAAGGUGUCUUCCUCAGCUCCCAUCCCAGUUUUGCUUCUCCAGCAGAUGGCAGUGCCUGGGCAGAGAGGCACAAUUCAGUACAUUUUUGUGUAUGAUCCUUUUAGUACUAAAACUUCCCUUUAUCAGAACAACCCUGAUCUCUGAUGAGCCUCUUAGAGUCAGUGUUCAAACCACAUCACCCCAAUUGGGACGACUGUCAACAGUUGCUGUUUGCCUUAUUUUCCUCAGAGGGGAGAGAGGAUUUGGAAAACUGCCGAAGAUAAUGUAAGAGCAAAAGCCAGGGGAAUGGAACAAGAGCAGGCAGCAGAAAUGAAGUGUGUUUUACCUCAUCACUAAAUUGGUACCUAAAUACUGCCCUGGGAGCCCAAAAUCUAGCUGUCCACCACAAGGAUUUGAUGAAAGGGUUCCAUGCGGCUCCCUGUCAUCUUACAAACCUUCAUAAAGUGGUAGAAGUGUGUCAGAGAACUAAUGAAAGUCCCUCCACAAUUCUUGAGUGCCUCCUGGGGCUUAUUGGACAUACAUUCCAUUUGAUCCCAAGAUAGCUAAGAUGCCAGAAUGAUAAAUAUGUCAUUUGUUGCCCAGUCAACAUACGCCACAAAUUACAGAAGCUAGAUGGGUUUGUAGUGAUGCUAUGGCUCGGUUGAAGUGGCUCAGAAAAUAUAAUAGACUGAGUUCAUUGAGGGUAAAAGUUUGUGCUAGUAUUGUUUGGACAAUUAAAUGUAGACAUCUUGUACUCUUUUUUUGAAGAUAAUACACAAUGUAAAUACCAUUUUUAUCCCCUAAUUAUUGUUUUGAAAUUCUAAUUUUUUUCUCUUUAAAAUAGAUUUGAAAAAGAAAAUAGAGAAAUGGAAACUACAGGAAGAACCAACAAAGGUGAAAAGAUGACUGCAAAGAGCUAGGGCUCAGUCUCAGGCCUGACUGACCAACCACAACACAAGAACAAUAUACUACAGAUUCCAUGAUAAUGCAAAAUAUUUAGCUUAAAGGGUCUUGCUAUACGGUUCAUGCUGGCCUCAAACUUGAGGCAACUCUCCUGCCUUGGCCUCCUGAGUCCUCGGAUCACAGGGGUGCGCCCCACAUCCAAUGGGAUUGAACUCAUGAUCUCGGAUAUAGUUGGCAUCCAUUCCUGGUGCUGAAAAUCACAAGAAUCACAAGAAACUACAGAGCACUAACGCAGGAGGGCUUGGCCUGGGACCUGGCAUCUGUCGCUGGUUCCUGCACCUAAAAUGGUGUGGAAUGCUGAGGAGUUCCAGAAAACCCAGCAUGGGAGUGAGUUGUGGCUUUCUGUGAUGAAGUUUCCCACCAGCUUCCCUAACAACUUACUGUGACGGUAAUACUCUGUGCAUAGAUUUUCGAAAUCAAAACUCAUUUGUACACCAAAUCUCUGGACCAAGGUAUCUCAGAGAUAAUUGCCACAUGGUUCCUGUUUCAGUCUGUGGUUCCUGUCACAGAGCCUUUUUAGGAGCUGUCUAACCAGCCCACUGCUUUAGUAUGUUUCACCUUUGUAGUAUGCACUUUUAAUGUGCUUAACUGAUUUUCAUAAAGAGCCAAAUGUUGUGGGAGCAAAUGGUAUGAUCUAAAAGCUGCACUGAGUGGGCAUGGUCUCUUCAGUCUUCAGAAUACCUUGCUGUUGUCUUGGAAACAAGCAAUGAGAAAGAAAUCCAUAGUUUCAAGGAGAAAACUAUGUGGAAAUAAAUUGACUCAAGCCAGCUGCUUUUGCACAGUGACCAGGAUAGAACUCCUUAUACAGCAGAUUUAUAUCUUUUUAGUUUUACAUGUCUAUAGGAAAAAGUUUAGUUCUGUCCUGCUUUGUUAUGUUUUUCUCUCUAACAUAGAAAGGAUAGAAAUACAUGUUAAGACUCAAGCUUAUGUAAAACCUAUAAACAGUUUAUGAGAACUGAUCUGAUGAUACAUGAUGAAAUGAACAAAAACUUUGAAAGAAAGAAAGUGGCCCUGCAGUACCCAAUCCUGAUUCCGGAGUGUUACGAUGUGAAAUCCAGCAAUAUUAUUAAUCUUUGUUCAGAAGGAUUUUAAUCUAAUAUGCUGUGUUAGCUCUCAACAUAAAUGAAGAUAUGGAUGAACACAUACAUGUCUAAGUGUAUAGGAUUGAUAGCCAUAACACUUAGUUUUUGUUGGAUAGUUGAACAGAACUGUUUGUAGUCUCUCUGGUUGAAAUCCAUUUAUAUGUUCCACUCGUGGACCUUGAACAGCUAUCUACAGAGGAACAAUAUGUAUACAUCAGCUACUGAUUUAUUACUAUUUCUUUUCUUUGAAAGUAUGUACUAUUUCUGCCUGUUUUCUAUUUUGUUUUGUUUUUCUUUCAAUAAAUAAAAGACAACUGCUUUACACAAGGGAUCAGAAAGUCGUGGCUUGUGAACGAAACCUUUCCACACCUAUUUUGGAUAAUCUGCUGGAUGAGUGCUACAGUUUUAAAUGGUUAAAAAUAAUCAAAAGAGUAAUAAUAUU